rfam:Ordospora colligata OC4 contig_11, whole genome shotgun sequence.
GCUGAAUUAGCUUAGUGGUAGAGCAUAGCGUUGUGGCCGCUACGUCACGGGUUCGAUUCCCGUAUUCGGCA